AACCAAUCCUAUAUCAAUUUUGAUGACUUGGAGUUCAUCGAGACUAUGAAUAAUGGAGGACGGUCGGCAGGAGCGGCAGCAAUUUUGGAUGAUUGUUAUUUUGUUGCUUCUGAUUUUUCUGUGUCCAAGUUUGAACAUUGUAAUAGAGAGGCAAAUAAAGUAGCUCAUGAACUUGCUUGGUUGGCUAGAUUUUCUGAUACUGUUGAUUGGAUUGAGGAGCCAUUGAAUGAAAUUGUACCCUUCCUCUUAAACAAUUUAUCAGUUAUUUCGAUUGAAUAA
rnacentral:rRNA from 1 species